AGUAAAUAGAUACCCGGUAGUCCACGCCGUAAACGAUGAGUACUAGGUGUAGGAGGUAUCGACUCCUUCUGUGCCGCAGUUAAACACAAUAAGUACUCCGCCUGGGAAAUACGGUCGCAAGAUUAAAACUCAAAGGAAUUGACGGGGGCCCGCACAAGCAGCGGAGCAUGUGGUUUAAAUUCGAAGCAACGCGAAGAACCUUACCUAGACUUGACAUCCCCUGAAUAACGUAGAGAUACGCGAAGCCCUUCGGGGCAGGGAGACAGGUGGUGCAUGGUUGUCGUCAGCUCGUGUCGUGAGAUGUUGGGUUAAGUCCCGCAACGAGCGCCACCCUUAUCAUUAGUUGCUACCAUUUAGUUGAGCACUCUAGUGAGACUGCCCGGGUUAACCGGGAGGAAGGCGGGGAUGACGUCAAAUCAUCAUGCCCCUUAUGUCUAGGGCUACACACGUGCUACAAUGGUGAGAACAACGAGAUGCAAUACCGCGAGUGGAGCAAAACUUCAAAACUCAUCUCAGUUCGGAUUGUAGGCUGAAACUCGCC
rnacentral:rRNA from 1 species